UCUGGAGAACAUUUUGUGCGUGCUUAAGAAGAAUGUAUAUUCUGCCCCUGUUGGUUGGAAUGUUCUGUAUAGGUAUGUUAGGUCCAUUUGGUCUAUAGUGUUUUUGAAGUCCAGUAUUUCUCCAUUGAUUUUCUGUCUGAUGUAUUCAUUAUUCUUAUUUACUUAUUUAUUUAUUUAGUUAAGAGAUGGAGUCUCACUUUGUCUCCCAGAUUGGAGUUCAGUGGCACGAUCAUAGCUCACUACAGCCUCAAACUCCUGGGCUUAAGUGAUCCUUCUGCCUUCCAAGUAGCUGGAACUACAGGCAUGUGCCAUCAUCACUGGCUUUUUUUUUUUUUUUUCUGGAGUGCAGUGGCAUGAUCACAGCUCACUGCAGCCUUGACCUCCUGCCUCAGCCUCCCAAGUAGCUGAAACUAUAGACAUGUGCCAU
rnacentral:lncRNA from 1 species